AAAUACUACCCAGUGACCGAUAGCGUAUAGUACUGUGAAGGAAAGGUGAAAAGGACCCCGGGAGGGGAGUGAAAUAGAACCUGAAACCUUGUGCCUACAAGCACAUAGAGCACAUCAACGUGUGAUAUGGUACUUUUUGUAGAACGGUCCGGCGAGCGAUUGUAUGUUGCGAGCUUAAGGUCUUAAGGACUGGAGGCGUAGCGAGAGCGAGUCUGAAGAGGGCGUUCAGUAACAUGCAAUGGGCCCGAAACCGGGUGACCUACCCAUGAUCAGGCUGAAGUGAAAGUAAAAUUUCAUGGAGGGCCGAACCGACCUCCGUUGAAAAGGCGGCGGAUGAAUUGUGGGUAGCGGAGAAAUUCCAAUCGAACUCGGAGAUAGCUGGUUCUCCCCGAAAUAGCUUUAGGGCUAGCCUCAUAUUAGAUACCCGGAGGUAAAGCACUGAAUGGCCUAGCGCCCGAGAGGGUAGCGAAGCCUAUCAAACUAAGAAUGCCGGAGUAUUGAUGUAUGGGAGUCAGACAGUGUGAGAUAAAUCUCAUUGUCAAAAGGGAAACAGCCCAGAUCUACAGCUAAGGUCCCAAAUUGUAUCUAAGUGGAAAACGAUGUGGAAAUACGCAGACAACCAGGAUGUUGGCUCAGAAGCAGCCACUCAUUUAAAGAGUGCGUAAUAGCUCACUGGUCGAGCGUCUCUGCGCGGAAAAUUUAACGGGGCUAAGAUACAAACCGAAGCUUAGGCUGCACGUAAGUGCGGGGUAGGGGAGCGUUGUGUAAGCGGAGAAACAGUAGCGUAAGCGGCUGUGGAGUUUACAGAAGUGAGAAUGCCGGAAUGAGUAGCGCGAAUGUGGUGAGAAUCCACAUGGCCGGAAACCUCAGGUUUUUGGAGGAAGGUUCGUCCGCUCCAAGUUAGGCGGGAGCUAAGGUCAGGCCGAAAGGCGUAGCCGAUGCACAGACGGUAGAGAUUCCGUCCCCACCGAAAGAUUUAAGCACAGGGACACUUUUUGAAGGUCGGAGCCAGGUGUUGGUUCUGGUAGUGAUCGAGGGAAAUAUAGUACCGAAGUCCGGCUGGAGAAGAGGCGAGAAAAGCUGUGUGUAUAUCUAAGGUGCCCGUACCGCAAACCGACACAGGUAGGUAGGAAGAAGAUUCUAAGGCCAACGGGAGAAGGGUUGUUAAGGAACUCGGCAAGUUGACCCCGUAACUUCGGAAUAAGGGGUGCUCACGAGAGUGAGCCGCAGAGAAUAGGCCCAGGCAACUGUUUACCAAAAACACAGGUUUGUGCUAAAUCGAAAGAUGACGUAUACGAGCUGACGCCUGCCCGGUGCUGGAAGGUUAAAAGGAGAUGUGCAAGCAUUGAAUUGAAGCCCCAGUGAACGGCGGCCGUAACUAUAACGGUCCUAAGGUAGCGAAAUUCCUUGUCAGGUAAGUUCUGACCCGCAUGAAAGGCGUAAUGAUCUGGGCACUGUCUCAACAGCCCGCCCGGCGAAAUUGUAGUACCGGUGAAGAUGCCGGUUACCCGCGACAAGACGGAAAGACCCCAUGGAGCUUUACUGUAGCCUGAUAUUGGGUUUCGGUGUUGCAUGCACAGGAUAGAUGGGACACUGGGAAGGCAGUGCUUUGGCAUUGCUGGAGUGGACGUUGGGAUACCAUCCUUGCGACAUUGGAAUUCUAACCUGCGCCUCUGAAUCGAGGCGGGGGACAUUGUCAGGUGGGCAGUUUGACUGGGGCGGUCGCCUCCUAAAAAGUAGCGGAGGCGUUCAAAGGUUCGUUCGAUCUGGACGGAAACCAGAUGAUUGAGUGCAAACGCAUAAACGAGCCUGACUGCGAGACUGACGGGUCGAGCAGAGACGAAAGUCGGAGUUAGUGAUCCGGUGGUAUGUGAGUGGAAAUGCCAUCGCUCAACGGAUAAAA
rnacentral:rRNA from 1 species